GAAAAAAAUAAAGAAAAAGCUGACCAACCAAUUCUAGUUACUUUACACUUGCCCUGCCCCUUGAAGAAGAAAGGAACUCUAUAAAUAAAGGCCAAAGUGUACCAUACAUAGGCUUGAGCACGCAACUCGUAGUCCCCAACACAUCUUCUAAUCUCUCUUCCCAACUCUUCUUCUAAACCAAACCAAACCCAGAAUGGUACGACCUUCGCCUGAACCCACCAAGCCCUCCACCAUCAAGUUCCUCUGCAGCUACGGUGGCAAAAUCCUCCCCCGUUAUCCCGACGGCAAGCUUCGUUAUCUCGGGGGCGAAACCCGCGUCCUCGCCGUAAACCGCAACAUUUCCUUUUCCGAGCUGUUGUUGAAGCUGGGUGAGCUGUGUGGGCCCUCCGUGACCGUGAGCCUACGUUGUCAGUUGCCCACCGAGGAUCUCGACGCCCUUGUGUCCAUCAAGUCCGAUGAGGAUCUGGCCAAUCUCAUCGAAGAAUACGACAGAGCAGCCGCCUCUGCAUCUCCACCGCCUUUUGCCAAUUUGAAGAUCAGAGCCUUCCUUUCCCUCGUCCCUCCCAAACCACACAAAACGCCGUCGUCUACGCCGUCUUCCUCGGCCUCAGCCUCCACGACGUCGUCCUCCGGCACUUCCUCCUCGUCUAACUACUACUACUACAGCGCUGCUGCUUCCGGGUCCACUCCCAGGUUCCCCAUGGUGUCCACGGCAGUUGACCGCUGUGUCCGCCAAAUCUCACAGGCUACGACGCCGUUUCAGAAAUCAGCUGCCAAGGUUCCUCACUGUGCUGAUAUUUGCCAUGCUCAUGGAAGCCCUAGUAGUCGGCUCUAUCUCAUUCACAACGGCAACCACUGGCAAUAACAACACAUGUGACACUCUCGGAGUCUCGGACUGAGUACUAUAAAUAUAUAUGCCACGGCGGGUUAAAUACUACAAAUUAAAUACUACCAGACAACUCCCCUUCCCUCUCCCCCCAACCCCACGAAGGAGAAAAUACGAACCAAAAAAGAAGAAGAUCAAUUAUCGUAUAGUAUUUGAUCAUAUGAUGUAAUGGGAUUGGCGCUAGAGCUGUAAUCGUUCAUAUGGAUUGCUUUUCAGUAUCCGUGGCGAUUAAUGAAUUUCAGUCCAAUUUCGUUUUUUCAUGUGCAUGUGUUCAUUCAUGAAUCAUGCAAGCAGGUUGAUGCUGAUCGGGGAGACGGACAAAGCUUUCAAUUUUUUGACUCAACCAGCAGAAUGUAUAGAUUCGAUCGACGGGAUUGGAUGGGAUGGGUUGGGAAGGCAGGCAGAACUGGAGUCUCGAGAAACAGCGAUAGAGUUGGAAGCAUCGGAAUCUUUAUUGAUGGAAUUGGGGAGAAACCCAUAAAAAUACAUUCUGUCCCAUACGUGACAGCUGGUGCUCGUUGCCUAGCUACUACUGGUUCAUGAAGCUGCACGUAAUUAGUUUAACAUAAGAUAUUUAAACCCUAAAUAUAAAAACGAAUAAAUGAAAAUAAAUAAUAGAAAAUCACAGAUGACAGCUGCUGAUAGAGAUUUGAAAAGAGGCCGUCCGCAGUCCACUCACGUAGCAUUCACAAGGGAUGAGAUGAGAUUCCCUUGGCCCUUCAUUUCAGAUGUAGGGAGACAAAUCUGAAAGAGAUUUGAUGGAGCAUUGUUAGGUAUCGUGUGGGUAAUAUUUAAUUAAUUAAGGGAUAA